UGACUGUCCACAUGACUUCGGAGGGCACUGGCAGACAUCCCUGUGGAUGCACAGCUUCCAAGUUCCAGGGACUACAGGACAGACGCACUGGCAGUGAUGGCAGCUACUACUGCUAUUAGCCACUAAUGGUGCCCAAUGACCUCUUUGUGGGGGCAACACUGAAUCUUUGUGGGGACACUGGAGAAUAAUGCCGGCACAGCAGGGAAGACAGGAGCAUUUGGUUUCCUUUUGGCUCCUGAGACAUCUGUAAGGGUCUGAAUCACCUGGCAUGGGCGACUUAAAGAAGGGAAGACUGAUUUGACUCACAGUUUCAAAGGGUGCAGUCCAUCAUGGCAGGGAAGGCAUGGUAAAGCAGUCGGGUCCACAUGCUGGUGGGCCCGGAGUGGAGACAGCAAAAGGAAAUGCUCAGGGAUACUGUAUCCCCAGGACACACCCCUGGAUACCCACUUCCUUCAGAGAGGUCCUCUCAUCUUCCCAAAUCUCCAAAACCUCCAAGGGGGUCCAAGUAUUCAAAAAGGAGUUGUUGGGAAACACUUCACUUUGAAACCAUAACUCUGAGUAUUGCUGCUUCUAACUAUGCCGGUGAUAUGCAAGGCUCUGUAGAAGCUAUUUUAAGUAGCAGAGGCAAGAUAUUGGUGUUAGAUCCUCUAGCUGGCUUCUUUUGCUUCCCAAAUCCCCCGCCCCCGCCCCCAGUCUUUCAAGGCCAGCUACAGAGAGCUGCUAUGACCUUGCAAUUCUGAAUCCCCUCCCUCCCCUUUGCAGCUGUGAGCAAAGCCCAGCUCUCGCUGAUGUUCAGGCUUAAGACAACCUUGAAUUGUAUCUAGGGUCUUCCUGGUCUAUGACUUCUACUAUGUAGGCCAGAUAACAGGAAUCCUUCCCCAUCUUCUUCUAGAGACCUGUAAGAACCAGAGCCCCACUUUGUCUUGCAGAACCGAAGUCAUCACUCGUGCUGGGGUUUUGUUGUUGUUGUUGUGUGUGUGUGUGUGUGUGUGUGUGUGUGUGUGUGUGUGUGUGUGUGUGUAAUUCAGCUUCCUUUGAACCAUUCGUGUUCCUUUAAGUAACCCAAUAAAUUAAUAAAAGUUCACCAGGCUGGACCUGGGUGUGA